rnacentral:rRNA from 1 species
AUGGCUGUCGUCAGCUCGUGCUGUGAAGUGUUGGGUUAAGUCCCGCAACGAGCGCAACCCUGUUUCUAGUUACCAGCACGUAAUGUGGGGACGUCUAGAGAGACUGCCGGUGACAAACCGGAGGAAGGUGGGGAUGACGUCAAGUCAUCAUGGCCCUUAUGUCCUGGGCUACACACGUGCUACAAUGGCCGGUACAGAGCGCAGCGAUACCGCGAGGUGGAGCAAAUCGCAGAAAGCCGGUCUCAGUACGGAUUGGAGUCUGAAACCCGACUUCAUGAAGGUGGAAUCGCUAGUAAUCGCGCAUCAGCAUGGCGCGGUGAAUACGUUCCCGGGCCUU